GCCCUCUAGUGGCUGCUGUGGAGUACUGCAGGUUUUUGUACAGGGUUCUGGUGUUUCCUGUCACUGUGGGCCUCACAGCGCAGUAGUACACAGCAGAGUCUGUCACUGCAGCAGAGGAGAUCAGCAGAUGAAACGUCUUUCUUGUUUUCUCGUGUCUCAAAGAAAGCCUUCC